rnacentral:rRNA from 1 species
AGAAUCAACGCUGGCGGCGUGCCUAACACAUGCAAGUCGAACGCGAAAGUGGAGCAAUCCAUGAGUAGAGUGGCAAACGGGUGAGUAACGCGUGGGUGAUUUGCCUCAGGGUGGGGGAUAACCUUCCGAAAGGGGGACUAAUACCGCAUGACAUAGCGCUCUUAGAUGAGCGUAUAUCAAAGCUGGAACCGCAAGGUCUGGCGCCUGGAGAGAAGCCCGCGUCCGAUUAGCUAGUUGGUGAGGUAAUGGCUCACCAAGGCGACGAUC